UUAAGAUGAGAGUUUGAUCCUGGCUCAGGACGAACGCUGGCGGCAUGCCUAAUACAUGCAAGUCGAACGAGCUUUGGUUGAUUGACGUGCUUGCACUGAUUUCUUCUUAAAGCGAGUGGCGAACUGGUGAGUAACACGUGGAAAACCUGCCCAGAAGCAGGGGAUAACACUUGGAAACAGGUGCUAAUACCGUAUAACAACAAAAACCGCAUGGUUUUUGUUUGAAAGAUGGUUUCGGCUAGCACUUCUGGAUGGUUCCGCGGCGCAUUAGCUUGUUGGUGAGGUAACGGCCCACCAAGGCGAUGAUGCGUAGCCGACCUGAGAGGGUAAUCGGCCACAUCGGGACUGAGACACGGCCCAGACUCCUACGGGAGGCAGCAGUAGGGAAUCUUCCACAAUGGACGCAAGUCUGAUGGAGCAAUGCCGCGUGAGUGAAGAAGGGUUUCGGCUCGUAAAACUC
rnacentral:rRNA from 1 species